CUUGCUUUUGAUGGGCGUCGACCGGCGCACGGGUGAGUAACGCGUAUCCAACCUGCCCACCACUUGGGGAUAACCUUGCGAAAGUAAGACUAAUACCCAAUGACGUCUCUAGAGGACAUCUGAAAGGGAUUAAAGAUUUAUCGGUGAUGGAUGGGGAUGCGUCUGAUUAGCUUGUUGGCGGGGUAACGGCCCACCAAGGCGACGAUCAGUAGGGGUUCUGAGAGGAAGGUCCCCCACAUUGGAACUGAGACACGGUCCAAACUCCUACGGGAGGCAGCAGUGAGGAAUAUUGGUCAAUGGACGAGAGUCUGAACCAGCCAAGUAGCGUGCAGGAUGACGGCCCUAUGGGUUGUAAACUGCUUUUAUAAGGGAAUAAAGUGAGUCUCGUGAGACUUUUUGCAUGUACCUUAUGAAUAAGGACCGGCUAAUUCCGUGCCAGCAGCCGCGGUAAUACGGAAGGUCCGGGUGUUAUCCGGAUUUAUUGGGUUUAAAGGGAGCGUAGGCCGGAGAUUAAGCGUGUUGUGAAAUGUAGAUGCUCAACAUCUGCACUGCAGCGCGAACUGGUUUCCUUGAGUACGCACAAAGUGGGCGGAAUUCGUGGUGUAGCGGUGAAAUGCUUAGAUAUCACGAAGAACUCCGAUUGCGAAGGCAGCUCACUGGAGCACAACUGACGCUGAAGCUCGAAAGUGCGGGUAUCGAACAGGAUUAGAUA
rnacentral:rRNA from 1 species